UUUCCGUAGGUGAACCUGCGGAAGGAUCAUUCAUAAUAAAGUGUUUUAUGGCACUUUUUAAAAAUCCAUAUCAACCUUGUGUGCAAUGUUAGAUCUCGUCAAUCUUGGCGAGAUUUUUAUACAUCAACUCAUUCUUUAACUAAUUUGUCUGAAAAAUAUUAUGAAUACUUAAUUCAAAAUACAACUUUCAACAACGGAUCUCUUGGCUCUC
rnacentral:misc_RNA from 1 species